AAUUAGCAAAGCAUUUAUUGUUAAGGCUUUUUAACAAAUCGCCAAAGGUGUAACAACUUUAUGAGGACCAGGGAUCUAAACGCAACACUUUGUUGUCUUUGUCUGUUUACUUGCAAUGCUUUUGACACUUCAUGGUCCUUUAUUGUUUCCACUGUCCCAACAAAAGAGACCUUAACGUCCUACAAUCGGUGCAAUACAUUAUUUUCUUGGCUUCAGAACCUGCAAUGAGUUUAUUACGUUAGACGCGUUUGUAACGGACCAUUUCAUCUACCGAGGAAACGCUGCCUGCCGUCGCCAGAGAACAGAGCAGAAAGGUCCGACAGUCUUUAAACGCGUCUUCAUGUUUCUGUGAAGCAGCGCGGCUUCAGCCCGCUAACAGGCAGCUAAACAGAGACAGCCGAGCUAAACUAACGAAGCCACGUUCAAACUCGGCGAAGAGUAAAAUAGUCGUCGCGGUCCGUAGUCGGUGCACAAGAAACCACCGCUGCACCGACGCGAGCGAGCGUUCUGGCAAUUUCUGACUGGAAAAGUGUCCUGUGUCUGCUGUCCCUCAAAGAGUGUCCUGGUCCACCUCACUGACCUGCUAGGCAUAAAACGGUGAAUGUUUCUGACUGAAAAAGCGAUUCCAAUGUUAAAAAGCGCAUGUGUGAUGGUCUAGCUAAAUUAUACUUGCCUAGUUCCCAUGUGUUUUUAUGUUUUGUAUGUGCAACCUGCUGCUAGUGAAGGUUGCCCUUUCCGUUGCUAGGUCAGUUUUCGGACAACCAACAAUUAGUAAUGACGCCACAAGUGACAACAGACACGCAUUGCUUAAUACACUAGAGAGGUGCAGGUGAUUGGAAACAGCUGGAAACAAUCAUGACAUGACAGACUAUCACAGGGAAAGACAGGACACGGCAGGAAGUGACGUGACCCAGGGAGAAUAGAGGCAAGAAACUACAAAAUAAAACCAGACAUGAACCCAAACCGUGACAUUAAUAGGUUAAAUGUAUUUAAUUUGAACUCAAUUAAAUUAAGUUCAAUUAAGUUCAACUAACUUAACUAAAUGUAGUUGAAAGUGAUAAAACCAUUCAUAUCAAUUCAACUCUACUAAACUAUAUUAACCCAACACAAUAACAUAGUGUUAGAGCAACGUAAUUGUUUAGCAUAGAGAGAAACCAAUUUAAUCAUGUGGAAAUCCUUUCCAUGAUUUUUUAAAGUAAAGCCAACGAGUAAUUUUUAAAAAGUAUAAAAAUUAAAAAGUAUAGAAUGUGAUCAAUAGAC
ensembl:lncRNA